rnacentral:rRNA from 1 species
AUGGCUCAGAUUGAACGCUGGCGGCAUGCCUUACACAUGCAAGUCGAACGGUAACAGGUCUCGGAUGCUGACGAGUGGCGAACGGGUGAGUAAUACAUCGGAACGUGCCCGAUCGUGGGGGAUAACGAGGCGAAAGCUUUGCUAAUACCGCAUACGAUCUACGGAUGAAAGCGGGGGAUCUUCGGACCUCGCGCGGACGGAGCGGCCGAUGGCAGAUUAGGUAGUUGGUGGGAUAAAAGCUUACCAAGCCGACGAUCUGUAGCUGGUCUGAGAGGAUGAUCAGCCACACUGGGACUGAGACACGGCCCAGACUCCUACGGGAGGCAGCAGUGGGGAAUUUUGGACAAUGGGCGAAAGCCUGAUCCAGCCAUGCCGCGUGCAGGAUGAAGGCCUUCGGGUUGUAAACUGCUUUUGUACGGAACGAAAAGCCUCUUUCUAAUAAAGAGGGGUCAUGACGGUACCGUAAGAAUAAGCACCGGCUAACUACGUGCCAGCAGCCGC